AUUGAACGCUGGCGGCAUGCCUUACACAUGCAAGUCGAACGGCAGCACGGGUGCUUGCACCUGGUGGCGAGUGGCGAACGGGUGAGUAAUACAUCGGAACGUACCUUAUCGUGGGGGAUAACGCAGCGAAAGCUGUGCUAAUACCGCAUACGCCCUGAGGGGGAAAGCGGGGGAUCGAAAGACCUCGCGCGAUUAGCGCGGCCGCUGCCUGAUUAGCUUGUUGGUGGGGUAAAAGCCCACCAAGGCGACGAUCAGUAGCUGGUCUGAGAGGACGAUCAGCCACACUGGGACUGAGACACGGCCCAGACUCCUACGGGAGGCAGCAGUGGGGAAUUUUGGACAAUGGGGGCAACCCUGAUCCAGCAAUGCCGCGUGAGUGAAGAAGGCCUUCGGGUUGUAAAGCUCUUUUGUCAGGGAAGAAACACCGGCUCUAACACAGUCCGGGAAUGACGGUACCUGAAGAAUAAGCACCGGCUAACUACGUGCCAGCAGCCGCGGUAA
rnacentral:rRNA from 1 species